GUGCUCACUUCAGCAGCACGUACACUAAAAUUGGAACGCUACAUAGAAGGCCGGCCUGGCCUCAGCACAAGGAUGACAUGCUAAGCUGUGCAGCGUUCUGUAUUUUA
ensembl:snRNA U6 U6 spliceosomal RNA